UAAAGCAAGAAAGGGCGUAUGGGGAAUGCCUAGGCACACUCCGGCGAAGAAGGACGCAGCAAACAGCGAAAUGCGACGGUGAGCGGUAAGCACGUGAAGAGCCGUCGAUAUCCGAAUGGGGGAACCCACACGGAGUCAUAUCCGUGUAUCACAUGUCGAAUACAUAGACAUGAUGAGGCGAGACGCAGGGAACUGAAACAUCUAAGUACCUGCAGGAAGAGAAAAUAAGAAUGAUUUUCUGAGUAGCGGCGAGCGAAAGGGAAAGAGCCCAAACCGAUCUUAGGAUCGGGGUAGUAGGAUCAUCGAGAAAUCUGACAGAGGAUCAUAGAGGAAUCACAUGGGAAGGUGAGCGAGAGAGGGUGAGAGCCCCGUACUCGAAAUGAGAGACUGGAGAGAGAUGACACCUGAGUAGGGCGGGACACGAGAAAUCCUGUCUGAAUCAGCCGGGACCAUCCGGCAAGGCUAAAUACGAGAGAGUGACCGAUAGUGAACCAGUACCGUGAGGGAAAGGUGAAAAGAACCCCGGGAGGGGAGUGAAAGAGAACCUGAAACCAUAUGCCUACAAGAAGUCAGAGCCCGUUAAAGGGUGAUGGCGUGCCUUUUGUAGAAUGAACCGGCGAGUUACUGUAUGGAGCGAGGUUAAGCAGGAUAUGCGGAGCCGAAGCGAAAGCGAGUCUUAAGAGGGCGAGAGUUGCAUGCAGUAGACCCGAAACCGGGUGAUCUAGCCAUGACCAGGUUGAAGUUGGGGUAAAACCCGAUGGAGGACCGAACCGACCCCCGUUGAAACGUUGGCGGAUGAGUUGUGGCUAGGGGUGAAAUUCCAAUCGAACCCGGAGAUAGCUGGUUCUCCCCGAAAUAGCUUUAGGGCUAGCGUCGAGGUAAGUUGCGUGAAGGUAGAGCACUGAAUAUGUGAUGGCCCCAUCUCGGGGUACUGAGCAUAAUCAAACUGCGAAUGUCACGCCAACAUGCUCGGCAGUCAGACAGCGGGUGAUAAGGUCCGUUGUCAAGAGGGAAACAGCCCAGACCAUCAGCUAAGGUCCCAAAAUGUAUGCUAAGUGGAAAAGGAUGUGGAGAUGUACAGACAACUAGGAGGUUGGCUCAGAAGCAGCCAUCCUUUAAAGAGUGCGUAACAGCUCACUAGUCGAAUGACUCUGCGCCGAUAAUUUACCGGGGCUAAGCAUACUACCGAAGCUAUGGAUCCCAAGGGAUGGUAGGGGAGCGUUCCAUGAACGGAGAAGUACGACCGAAAGGACGUGUGGAGAUCAUGGAAGAGAGAAUGCCGGUGUGAGUAGCGGAACGUGGGUGAGAAUCCCACGCACCGAAAACCCAAGGUUUCCAGAGGAAGGUUCGUCCGCUCUGGGUAAGUCGGGACCUAAGGCGAGGCCGAAAGGCGUAGUCGAUGGACAACAGGUAGAGAUUCCUGUACCCGUAUAUAUGUGAAGGAAUGACGGAGAGAGGAAGCUGCAGCCAGCGGCUGGAAGAGCUGGUGCAAGCGAGAUAUCGGGAUGGCAGGCAAAUCCACCAUCCGAAACGAGAAGGCGUGAAGCGUACGGAAAGCUACGGCGAGUACGGAAGGCAGUGGAGGAACUUCCAAGAAAAGUUUCUAACGUUAAGUAUAUAUGGCCCGUACCGAAAAUGGACACACAUGGGUGAGGAGAGAAUCCUAAGGUGAGCGAGAGAACUAUAGCUAAGGAACUCUGCAAAAUGACUCCGUAACUUAGGGAGAAGGAGUGCUCAUAGAGAUAUGAGCCGCAGUGAAACGGCCCAAGCGACUGUUUACCAAAAACACAGCUCUCUGCUAAGCCGCAAGGCGAAGUAUAGGGGGUGACGCCUGCCCGGUGCUGGAAGGUUAAGGGGAGGGGUUAACGCAAGUGAAGCCCUGAACUGAAGCCCCAGUAAACGGCGGCCGUAACUAUAACGGUCCUAAGGUAGCGAAAUUCCUUGUCAGGUAAGUUCUGACCCGCACGAAAGGCGUAAUGGCGUAAUGACUUGGGCACUGUCUCAACAACAAAUCCGGCGAAAUUGUAGUGCAAGUGAAGAUGCUCGCUACCCGCGAUUGGACGGAAAGACCCCGUAGAGCUUUACUGUAGCUUAGCAUUGAAUUCCGGUAUUGUCUGUACAGGAUAGGUGGGAGACUGGGAAACUAGGGCGUCAGCCUUAGUGGAGUCAACCUUGGGAUACCACCCUGACAGUACUGGGGUUCUAACAGGACGCCAUGAAUCUGGUGACUGGACAUUGUUAGGUGGGCAGUUUGACUGGGGCGGUCGCCUCCUAAAAAGUAACGGAGGCGCCCAAAGGUUCCCUCAGAACGGUCGGAAA
rnacentral:rRNA from 1 species